UGCCAGCCGCCGCGGUAAGACAGAGGGUGCAAACGUUGCUCGGAAUUACUGGGCGUAAGGCGCACGUAGGCGGAUUCGCAAGUCGGGUGUGAAAUCCCCGGGCUCAACCUGGGAACUGCAUUCGAAACUGCGUGUCUAGAGUGGUGGAGAGGGAAGCGGAAUUCCAGGUGUAGAGGUGAAAUUCGUAGAUAUCUGGAGGAACACCAGUGGCGAAGGCGGCUUCCUGGACACUGACUGACGCUGAGGUGCGAAAGCGUGGGGAGCGAACAGGAUUAGAUA
rnacentral:rRNA from 1 species